rnacentral:rRNA from 1 species
UACCAUGCAGUCGACGGUAACAGGCCGCUGUGAUCUCUUCGGAGUGAACUUGGCGCUGACGAGUGGCGGACGGGUGAGUAAUGCAUAGGAAUCUACCCAGUAGUGGGGGAUAACGUGGAGAAAUCCACGCUAAUACCGCAUAUGUUCUACGGAACAAAGCAGGGGACCUUCGGGCCUUGCGCUAUUGGAUGAGCCUAUGUUGGAUUAGCUUGUUGGUGAGGUAAAAGCUCACCAAGGCGACGAUCCGUAGCUGGUUUGAGAGAAUGAUCAGCCACACUGGGACUGAGACACGGCCCAGACUCCUACGGGAGGCAGCAGUGGGGAAUAUUGCACAAUGGGCGCAAGCCUGAUGCAGCAAUGCCGCGUGUGUGAAGAAGGCCUGCGGGUUGUAAAGCACUUUUAUUAGGAAAGAAAAACACGGAGUUAAUACCUCCGGACUUGACGGUACCUAAAGAAUAAGCACCGGCUAACUCAGUGCCAGCAGCCGCGGUAAUACUGAGGGUGCAAGCGUUAAUCGGAAUUACUGGGCGUAAAGCGAGUGUAGGCGGCUACUUAAGUCGGAUGUGAAAGCCCCGGGCUCAACCUGGGAAUUGCAUUCGAUACCAUGCAGUACCAUGCAGUACCAUGCAGUACCAUGCAGUGGUGUAGC